GACGAACGCUGGCGGCGUGCUUAACACAUGCAAGUCGAACGCUGAAGCUUGGUGCUUGCACUGGGUGGAUGAGUGGCGAACGGGUGAGUAGUACGUGAGUAACCUGCCCUUGACUCUGGGAUAGGCCUGGGAAACUGGGUCUAAUACUGGAUACGACAUGUCACCGCAUGGUGGUGUGUGGAAAGGGUUUUACUGGUUUUGGAUGGGCUCACGGCCUAUCAGCUUGUUGGUGGGGUAAUGGCUCACCAAGGCGACGACGGGUAGCCGGCCUGAGAGGGUGACCGGCCACACUGGGACUGAGACACGGCCCAGACUCCUACGGGAGGCAGCAGUGGGGAAUAUUGCACAAUGGGCGGAAGCCUGAUGCAGCGACGCCGCGUGAGGGAUGACGGCCUUCGGGUUGUAAACCUCUUUCAGCACGGAAGAAGCGAAAGUGACGGUACGUGCAGAAGAAGCGCCGGCUAACUACGUG
rnacentral:rRNA from 1 species